AACCCUACGUUUAGUUGCUAACGCGUGAAGGCGAGCACUCUAGACGAACUGCCGUUGACAAAACGGAGGAAGGUGGGAUGACGUCAAAUCAUCAUGCCCCCUUAUGUUCUGGGCUACACACGUGCUACAAUGGCCGGUACAGACGGACGCAAAGCCGCGAGGUGGAGCAAAUCCUAAAAAGCCGGUCUCAGUUCGGAUUGCAGGCUGCAAUUCGCCUGCAUGAAGUCGGAAUCGCUAGUAAUCGCAGGUCAGCAUACUGCGGUGAAUACGUUCCCGGGCCUU
rnacentral:rRNA from 1 species